CUAUCAUUUUUAAGCUAUUAAUGAAGCAAUAUAUUUAAAUUCACUCAUACAAGAUUAUAUAAUAUUCUUUGAAGUUCUGUCAGCAUUAAUUCACUUUCUAGCUGCAUAUAAUCGUGAAUCAAGAUAUGACCCUUCCUUUCUUUUUCUCACAAAACAUGGUCCCCAAACUCAAAUGCUGUAUUCUUAGAUACCAGGGGUUGGCAACCUUUCAGAAGUGGUGUGUCGAGUCUUAAUUUAGUCACUCUAAUAAGUAAGUAAAUACAGGACAAAUUUCUGCAACUGAGAACUUGCAUAAAUUCACCUUGCAGGGUCGGCGAGUUAUAUGGGCCCGUGGUGCUUGUGCUCCAGCAAUAUUCAGGGCCCGGGAGCCUGGAUCCACCAAUGUUUGGGGCCAGGUCUCUGCCCCGGCCCCACCUGCUGCCCCCAGGGGCCUCCCCUGGAGCGCCCCCGGCCCCGCCAGCUGCUCCGCGCAGUGCUCCCUCACCGGCCGCUGCUGGCUACAACACAGGGACCGGCGCUGGCGGCAGGCUGAGGUGGCCGCUGCGCCUGCGGAGGGGGGAGAGGAGGAGGUGCACAUGUGAUGGCAGCCCCCCCCCGGCACCUACUGGGAGACGACUCCAACUCCGAGGAGGCUUCCUGGAGUCUGGACCUGAGCAGCUGGGGCAUGGGUCUGUGUUGGACUCGUGCCCCCGCCCGCAGUCACCUCUCCUGCCCCACGCUUGGCAAGGAGAUGCCCCAUCCCCCACCCGCAGUGAUGCUAUGGUGAGGGGCAGCAGCAGGGGAGGAGGUGCACAAGUGACAGCAGCCCCCUCCCCCACCUUCUGUCACCCACCACAAGGGAGGCGAGGGGGCUUCCUGGACCUGAGCAGCUGUGGCUUGGGUGAGUGUCGUGACACCCUGCCCUCCACCCCCCGCCCCCGCUCCGCAGUUACCACUCCUGCCCCAGGCUGGGCAAGGGGCAGCCCCAUCCCCCACUGGACAACAAUGAAAAGUGUUUGCUGCCUCCUGAAGAACAUCGCAAAAGAAGGGGCGACAUUUUGUUUUAAUUUUAGAAAGUAUUUGCUUUUGAGAGCUAUUGAUCCAAGAGUGCUGGGUUGUUUCUGUAUUCAAAAGAGUAUGAAUAAAGUUGAUAUUCUUCGUUA